AGGAAAUAAGUCAAUGAAAAACUUGAUCUCUAGGUCUGCAGGUAAACCUAGAAGAUCUUCUAGGAAAACAUCAGAAAAUUCCUUCACCACUAGUAUCUGUUGUAGAUUGAACUCUCUACUUUUAUUUUUCACUACAUAAUCCAAAUACUCUCUAUACAUCCCUUCUCAAGUAAUCGUUGAGCUUGAAUGCAAGAUACGAGACAUGGAUGUUGGGGCUCUCUAAUCCUUUUAAAUUUGAAAGCCUUAUCAUUAAGAACAUCAAAGGUCACUAUCUUUCCAUGACAAUCUAUAUUGGAAUGAUACACUGUCAACCAAUCCAUUCCUAGUAUGAUGUCAAAAUCAUGCACGUUGAGGAGUAUGAGAUCUACUAG
rnacentral:lncRNA from 1 species